rnacentral:tmRNA from 1 species
GGGGCUGUUCUGGAUUCGACAAAAUUAUCAAACAAAUAAAGUGCAUGCCGAGGAACGGUUUGCCUCGUAAAAAGCCGUAAAAAAAUAGCUACAAAUAAUAAACAAAACUACGCAUUAGCAGCUUAAAAAACUGUAUAAAGCCCUUUAUUCUCGAAAUUAACUCUUUUAUAACGAGAAAUUUAUUAAAGGUCAUUUACUAAAGAGAAAACGUGAAAACAAUGCUUGGUUGUCACACGAUAAUAUUUAUUCAAGCUAUACUCCUAAAAUGCGUUUUUCCAAAUUAGGAGGAGAAUAUAAUUAGAAAAGCUAAGCAUGUAGGAUCUUUAUUUAUAGAAAUUUUGGACGCGGGUUCAAAUCCCGCCAGCUCCAA